CAUCUACUAGGGCACCGAGAGUAUGCGGGCCUCUCAAGCCCGUGGCCCGGGUUCAAAUCCCGGCCGGAGCA
rnacentral:tRNA from 1 species